AGCAAGCUCUCGGACUACAUCUAAAAUAUCUAAAUGGUUACUAAAAUUGAGGUCAGAUUUUUGAAAACGUGGUCAUCCAAAGUUCUCGGUACAGAAAAUCUGUUUUGUAUGGAUCAGAGUUAGACAUGGUCAUGUAAUAUAUAACAAUGUAAUAGCAAGUGUUAUGUUGUUUUUGAAAAUGCUCUGAAAAUGAAAAAAGCUUUGUUUAUCCACUAUGCUAUCAAAUGCUCUUUUACCUUGCAUGUUAGGCGGAUCAACAUUCCAUCCAUCUGCAUUAGGAUCUACCUUAGAGACACUCACUGGAGCUGUAAAUGGGAAGCAGGUCACUUACUUUGCAUUCGUCCUUGGUGGUCACCCAAGGGUCUCUAGAGUGAAAAUUACUCAAUCUAUGGAUUAAACAGAAAAUUUAGUUGUAUGAAGUGCAAUUUGGGACAUUCUUCCAGUUGUCGGCAACUUUGUGAAAAAGGCUGGAAACUUAAAUGCAGAAUUCUGGCCUGGUGUUUGGUCUGUGCUGUCUUUGGCUCUUGCAUCUCCAUCAUCCUGACCCUCUUUAGCAGCCUGUCCAUGUAUUUAUUUGGAGGCCACCAUGAGCACCCAUCUGCAUAAUAUGACUUUGUUACU